AGCGAACGCUGGCGGCAUGCCUAACACAUGCAAGUCGAACGGACUCUUCGGGCUUUCUGGGGGAGACGUGAGGGACACGGGGGAACGUGCAUGUUGGUGUGGAAUACCUCACUGUGACAUGUGCUAAGAUAGAAUGUGCUCCUCGGGGGUAAGAGCUAUCGCCAUUAGAGCGGCCUGCGUCCGAUUAGCUAGUUGGUGAGGGAACUGCAGACCAAGGCGGCGUUCGGUAGCUGGUUUGAGAGGAAGGCCGGCCACACUGGGACUGAGACACGGCCCAGACUCCUACGGGAGGCAGCAGUGGGGAAUAUUGCGCAAUGGGCGCAAGCCUGACGCAGCCAUGCCGCGUGAGUGAUGAAGGUCUUAGGAUUGUAAAGUUCUUUCAGCGGGGACGAUAAUGACGGUACCCGGAGAAGAAGCCCCGGCUAACUUCGUG
rnacentral:rRNA from 1 species